rnacentral:rRNA from 1 species
AGGACGAACGCUGGCGGCGUGCUUAACACAUGCAAGUCGGAGGGGGCUCAGCAAUGGGUCACCGGCGAACGGGUGCGUAACACGUGAGCAACCUGCCGCAGAGUGGGGGAUAGCCGGCCCAACGGCCGGGUAAUACCGCAUACGAUCGUAUCGGGACAUCCCGUAACGAUGAAAGAUUUAUCGCUCUGUGAGGGGCUCGCGGCCUAUCAGCUAGUUGCGAGGUAACGCUCACAAGGCGACGACGGGUAGCUGGUCUGAGAGGAUGGCCAGCCACAGUUGGGACUGCGACACGGCCCAGACUCCUACGGGAGGCAGCAGUGGGGAAUCUUGCGCAAGUGGGCGAAAGCCUGACGCAGCGACGCGCGUGGGAGGAAGGUUUCGGAUCGUAACCCUGUUCGCCGGACGAUCCACGACUUCAUGUGUUGACGGUACGGUGAGGAGCGACG